CAUUACAGUCAAAACACUCAGGGCACACUACCCCUGUUCACUGUGACCUAUAUGACCCGCUACAGCAGAUGGAAGGGCAGGGAAUGUCGAUGUAGAUUGUAGAGUCCUCUCGAACAACCAGCAACAUUUUUUUCUGGGAUUUCUACCAUUUAACUUUAAGCCACGGCAGGCAUGUCCUUGAGCCAGGGGUCAAGGGGCUUUCCAAUGGAGUAAACAAUGAAGCCGAUCUCCCGCAUCUUCUCAGCAUCAAUUACGUUGCGACCGUCAAACAAGAAUGCAGGUUUCUGCAUGCUAUCAUAGAUCUUCUUGUAGUCGAGUGUCUUGAACUCAUCCCACUCAGUCAAGAUGCAGAUACCAUGCGCCCCCUUGGUGGCUUCAUACGCAUCCCAGGUCACAGAGACCUGCUUCACUGCGGUUGGGCUCAUUGGCUGCAGGUGGAUUGGGUGGUCCCAGUCGAACUUGUUCAUCGCGAGAUCACGUUGGAUCUGUUCCUCUGUCACCUGCGGGUCGUAGAUGCUAAUCUUAGCUUUGUCUCCAAGGAGUCCCUUACAGACAUCAAUGGCGGCGGUCUCCCUCGUGUCACCGGUAUCCUUCUUGAAUGCAAAACCGAGAACUGCAAUCUUCUUUCCAGAGACAGUGUUGAACAUAGAAGACACAACACGGUUCACGAAUCUGCUCUUCUGGUAAUCAUUGAUCUUGAUAACCUGCUUCCAGUAGUUGGCGACCUCAGGCAGUCCAUUGCACUCACAGAUGUAUACAAGGUUGAGGAUGUCCUUCUGGAAGCAUGAGCCUCCAAAACCAACACUAGCAUUCAAGAAUUUGGGUCCAAUCCUUGAAUCCUUGCCAACAGCAUAGGCCACCUCUGCCACAUUGGCACCAGUGGCCUCACACAGAGCAGAGAUUGCAUUCACUGAUGAGAUCCUUUGAGCCAAGAAGGCAUUUGCAGCAAGCUUGGACAGCUCCGCUGACCAUAGGUUGGUUGUGAGAAUACGGUCCUCAGGGACCCAAUUGGCAUAUACAUCCUUCAGGGCCUUAACAGCCUUCUGGCCCUCUGGAGUCUCCCGACCACCGAUGAGCACACGGUCAGGCUUGAAAAGGUCCUCAAUUGCUGUGCCCUCCGCAAGGAAUUCAGGGUUUGAGAGGAUCUGGAACUUGAUUCCCUUGCUAUUGUGUGCCAAGAUCUUCUCAAUGGCUUCAGCAGUCUUGACAGGGACAGUGGACUUCUCAACCACAAUCUUGUCGGACUUGGCCAC
rnacentral:lncRNA from 1 species